rnacentral:rRNA from 1 species
GACGAACGCUGGCGGCGUGCUUAACACAUGCAAGUCGAACGGAAAGGCCCUGCUUUUGUGGGGUGCUCGAGUGGCGAACGGGUGAGUAACACGUGAGUAACCUGCCCUUGACUUUGGGAUAACUUCAGGAAACUGGGGCUAAUACCGGAUAGGAGCUCCUGCUGCAUGGUGGGGGUUGGAAAGUUUCGGCGGUUGGGGAUGGACUCGCGGCUUAUCAGCUUGUUGGUGGGGUAGUGGCUUACCAAGGCUUUGACGGGUAGCCGGCCUGAGAGGGUGACCGGCCACAUUGGGACUGAGAGACGGCACAGACUCCUACGGGAGGAAGCAGUGGGGAAUAUUGCACAAUGGGCGGAAGCCUGAUGCAGCAACGCCGCGUGCGGGAUGACGGCCUUCGGGUUGUAAACCGCUUUCGCCUGUGACGAAGCGUGAGUGACGGUAAUGGGUAAAGAAGCACCGGCUAACUACG